UGAGAGUAAGCUACUUGUAAACCCAAAGAUUACAUCUGAACAGCUUAUCCUAUUGCAGGAGAGAUUGCUUUACAUAGGAAUGCAAGAAAUGUAGAACAAAGUUAUACAUGCUUAGUUGGUCUAUAGGGAAAACAAAGAUUACUUGCAAAAGCCGUCGAACGUAACCACCCUCCAUUAUUCGUGCAAAGCUUGAUGCAUGUGAAUAUUUGUUUCCUUCAAAGGAAUGAUAAAUAUCAGGAUGAGCAUCAAGGUGGAGGAUAUCAAUAGGUCCUCCAAGCUUUUCAGACACAGCUCUUACAACAGGAUAGGAUAUGGUAAAUAUCAGGAUGAGCAUCAAGGUGAAGGAUAUCAAUAGGUCCUCCAAGCUUUUCAGACACAGCUCUUACAACAGGAUAGGAUAUGGAGUGAUCACCCCCUAACACCAAGGGACGCAAUGGAUCCUGAAAAGUCAAUAUGGGAAUUGAAUUAACAAAUU
rnacentral:lncRNA from 1 species